GUCCACGCCCUAAACGAUGCAUAUUUGGUGUGGGCAGUUCAUUCUGUCCGUGCCGGAGCUAACGCGUUAAAUAUGCCGCCUGGGGAGUACAGUCGCAAGGCUGAAACUCAAAGGAAUUGACGGGGCCCCGCACAAGCGGUGGAGCAUGUGGUUCAAUUCGACGCAACGCGAAGAACCUUACCUGGGCUCGAACGGCUGGUCAACGGAGGUGGAAACAUCUUUACCCCGCAAGGGGGUCCAGUCGAGGUGCUGCAUGGCUGUCGU
rnacentral:rRNA from 1 species